rnacentral:rRNA from 1 species
GAUGAACGCUGGCGGCGUGCCUAAUACAUGCAAGUCGAGCGAACGGACGUGAAGCUUGCUUCUGUGAUGUUAGCGUCGGACGGGUGAGUAACACGUGGAUAACCUAUCUAUAAGACUGGGAUAACGUCUGGAAACCGGAGCCAGUACCGGAUAAUAGUUUGAACCGCAUGGUUCAAAAUUGAAAGACGGUCUUGCUGUCACUUGUAGAUGGAUCCGCGCUGCAUUAUCUAGUUGGUAAGGUAACGGCUUACCAAGGCAACGAUGCAUAGCCGACCUGAGAGGGUGAUCGGCCACAGUGGCACUGAGACACGGUCCAGACUCCUACGGGAGGCAGCAGUAGGGAAAGUUCAGCAAUGGGCGAAAGCCUGACGGAGAAACGCCGCGUGCGUGAUGAAGGUCUUCGGCUCGUAGAACUAUGCUAUUAGCGAAGAACAUAAGUGUAAGUAAUUGUGCACAUCUUGACGGUACCUAAACAGAAAGCAACGGCUAACUACGUG